rnacentral:rRNA from 1 species
UACGUAGGGUGCGAGCGUUGUCCGGAAUUAUUGGGCGUAAAGAGCUCGUAGGCGGUCUGUCGCGUCUGCUGUGAAAACCCGAGGCUCAACCUCGGGCCUGCAGUGGGUACGGGCAGACUAGAGUGCGGUAGGGGAGAAUGGAACUCCUGGUGUAGCGGUGGAAUGCGCAGAUAUCAGGAGGAACACCGAUGGCGAAGGCAGUUCUCUGGGCCGUAACUGACGCUGAGGAGCGAAAGCGUGGGGAGCGAACAGG